UACGGAAGGGGCUAGCGUUGUUCGGAAUUACUGGGCGUAAAGAGCGCGUAGGCGGCUUACCAAGUUGGGGGUGAAAUCCCGGAGCUCAACUCCGGAACUGCCUUCAAAACUGGUAGGCUCGAGUCCGGAAGAGGGGCGUGGAAUUCCCAGUGUAGAGGUGAAAUUCGUAGAUAUUGGGAAGAACACCGGUGGCGAAGGCGGCGCCCUGGUCCGGUACUGACGCUGAGGCGCGAAAGCGUGGGGAGCAAACAGG
rnacentral:rRNA from 1 species